UACAGAGGUGUCAAGCGUUGCUCGGUGUCACUGGGCUUAAAGGGCGCGUAGGCUGCGCAGUACGGCUCGGGUGAAAUCCCUCGGCCCAACCGAGGAACUGCCCGGGCGACGGCUGUGCUGGACUGCAUCAGGGGCGGAUGGAACUCCCGGUGGAGCGGUGAAAUGCGUAGAUAUCGGGAGGAACGCCGGUGGCGAAAGCGAUCCGCUGGGGUGCAAGUGACGCUGAGGCGCGAAAGCCAGGGGAGCAAACAGG
rnacentral:rRNA from 1 species